UCCCACGGCGUCCGGGUCUUGUGGCGCUGCUUGGACUUCCUGGUGCGACAGGUGAGGCUGCGGCGUGUUUUCCAACAGAAGGCCGCCAGAGAAAAGGAGGUUAAUAAAGUCCUCAAUACGAAGCUGGAGGAGGCCCUGCAGCUCAUUGAGGUGCUGCAGGCCACGGGGUCCUUUGAACAGGAUGGCGGUGAUGGAGGAGACGAUCUGUCCAAUCAGCCUGUUGAGGUUGGCGUAGGUGGGGCGUAGUUGUUGGCUGCGUCCUCCUUACCGGUGAUCAGCUGCUCGGGGUGGAAGAGCUGGCGGCAGGUUCCUUAAAUGAUGAUGAUGAGGAGGUGAAGGCCCUUCGGCGAGAGGGACAAUUGUUUAUUUAUUCAAUCCUGGAUGAAGCCCUCCCGCGCAGGGACCUCAACUCCCACGGCGUCCGGGUCUUGUGGCGCUGCUUGGACUUCCUGGUGCGACAGGUGAGGCUGCGGCGUGUUUUCCAACAGAAGGCCGCCAGAGAAAAGGAGGUUAAUAAAGUCCUCAAUACGAAGCUGGAGGAGGCCCUGCAGCUCAUUGAGGUGCUGCAGGCCACGGGGUCCUUUGAACAGGAUGGCGGUGAUGGAGGAGACGAUCUGUCCAAUCAGCCUGUUGAGGUUGGCGUAGGUGGGGCGUAGUUGUUGGCUGCGUCCUCCUUACCGGUGAUCAGCUGCUCGGGGUGGAAGAGCUGGCGGCAGGUUCCUUAAAUGAUGAUGAUGAGGAGGUGAAGGCCCUUCGGCGAGAGGGACAAUUGUUUAUUUAUUCAAUCCUGGC